ACAUGCAAGUCGAACGCUUUUUCUUUCACCGGAGCUUGCUCCACCGAAAGAAAAAGAGUGGCGAACGGGUGAGUAACACGUGGGUAACCUGCCCAUCAGAAGGGGAUAACACUUGGAAACAGGUGCUAAUACCGUAUAACACUAUUUUCCGCAUGGAAGAAAGUUGAAAGGCGCUUUUGCGUCACUGAUGGAUGGACCCGCGGUGCAUUAGCUAGUUGGUGAGGUAACGGCUCACCAAGGCCACGAUGCAUAGCCGACCUGAGAGGGUGAUCGGCCACACUGGGACUGAGACACGGCCCAGACUCCUACGGGAGGCAGCAGUAGGGAAUCUUCGGCAAUGGACGAAAGUCUGACCGAGCAACGCCGCGUGAGUGAAGAAGGUUUUCGGAUCGUAAAACUCUGUUGUUAGAGAAGAACAAGGAUGAGAGUAGAACGUUCAUCCCUUGACGGUAUCUAACCAGAAAGCCACGGCUAACUACGUGCCAGCAGCCGCGGUAAUACGUAGGUGGCAAGCGUUGUCCGGAUUUAUUGGGCGUAAAGCGAGCGCAGGCGGUUUCUUAAGUCUGAUGUGAAAGCCCCCGGCUCAACCGGGGAGGGUCAUUGGAAACUGGGAGACUUGAGUGCAGAAGAGGAGAGUGGAAUUCCAUGUGUAGCGGUGAAAUGCGUAGAUAUAUGGAGGAACACCAGUGGCGAAGGCGGCUCUCUGGUCUGUAACUGACGCUGAGGCUCGAAAGCGUGGGGAGCGAACAGGAUUAGAUACCCUGGUAGUCCACGCCGUAAACGAUGAGUGCUAAGUGUUGGAGGGUUUCCGCCCUUCAGUGCUGCAGCAAACGCAUUAAGCACUCCGCCUGGGGAGUACGACCGCAAGGUUGAAACUCAAAGGAAUUGACGGGGGCCCGCACAAGCGGUGGAGCAUGUGGUUUAAUUCGAAGCAACGCGAAGAACCUUACCAGGUCUUGACAUCCUUUGACCACUCUAGAGAUAGAGCUUCCCCUUCGGGGGCAAAGUGACAGGUGGUGCAUGGUUGUCGUCAGCUCGUGUCGUGAGAUGUUGGGUUAAGUCCCGCAACGAGCGCAACCCUUAUUGUUAGUUGCCAUCAUUUA
rnacentral:rRNA from 1 species